rnacentral:rRNA from 1 species
AUUGAACGCUGGCGGCAGGCCUAACACAUGCAAGUCGAGCGGAGCGGCGGACGGGGGAGUAAUGCCUAGGCAUCUGCAUAGGAGUGGGGGAUAACGUCCGGAAACGGGCGCUAAUACCGCAUACUAUCAGAUGAGCCUAGGUCGGAUUAGCUAGUUGGUGGGGUAAAGGCCUACCCAGGCGACGAUCAGUAACUGGUCGGAGAGGAUGAUCAGUCACACUGGAACUGAGACACGGUCCAGACUCCUACGGUAGGCAGCAGUGGGGAAUAUUGCACAAUGUGCGAAAGCCUGAUCCAGCAAUUCCGCGUGUGUGAAGAAGGUCUUCGGAUUGUAAAGCACUUUAAGUUGGGAGGCGUUACCAACAGAAUAAGCACCGGCUAACUUCGUGCCAGCAGCCGCGGUAAUAC